rnacentral:rRNA from 1 species
CACGGGGGGAGCAAGCGUUGUUCGGAAUCACUGGGCGUAAAGGGCGUGUAGGCGGUUAGGGAAGUGGAAUGUGAAAUCCCUCGGCUCACCCGAGGACCUGCAUCCCAAACUGCCUGACUUGAGUAUGGGAGAGGAUGAGGGAAUUCCUGGUGUAGCGGUGAAAUGCGUAGAUAUCAGGAGGAACACCGGUGGCGAAGGCGCUCAUCUGGCCCAAUACUGACGCUGAGGCGCGAAAGCUAGGGGAGCAAACGGG